GGGGACCUCCAAAAAAUCAUCCAGGCCGACGUGGCAUUACUCCGCACUGACCUUAAAGGCAUGAUGUGCCGCCUGGGCAAGGUGGAAACCUCGGCAGAGGCCGCAAACUGCGCCAUAACCGAGCUCCAGGGCGAAAUGGCUGAACUUAAAAAAACAACAGGGCCUAACGGACCAGCACUUCGCAAUGCUGGAGGAUGAAAGGCGCCGAAAUAACCUCAAAG